rnacentral:rRNA from 1 species
GAUGAACGCUGGCUGCGUGCCUAAUACAUGCAAGUCGAGCGAAUGGAUUAAGAGCUUGCUCUUAUGAAGUUAGCGGCGGACGGGUGAGUAACACGUGGGUAACCUGCCCAUAAGACUGGGAUAACUCCGGGAAACCGGGGCUAAUACCGGAUAACAUUUUGAACCGCAUGGUUCGAAAUUGAAAGGCGGCUUCGGCUGUCACUUAUGGAUGGACCCGCGUCGCAUUAGCUAGUUGGUGAGGUAACGGCUCACCAAGGCAACGAUGCGUAGCCGACGUGAGAGGAUGAUCGGCCACACUGGGAAUGAGACACGACCCAGACUCCUACGGGAGGAAGCAGUAGGGAAUCUUCCGCAAUGGACGAAAGUCUGACGGAGCAACGCCGCGUGAGUGAUGAAGGCUUUCGGGUCGUAAAACUCUGUUGUUAGGGAAGAACAAGUGCUAGUUGAAUAAGCUGGCACCUUGACGGUACCUAACCAGAAAGCCACGGCUAACUACGUGCCAGCCGCCGCAGUAA